UGAGGAAUAUUGGGCAAUGCCCGCAAGGGUGACCCAGCAACGCCGCGUGGAGGAUGAAUGUCGUAAGAUUGUAAACUCCUGUUAGAGGGGAAGAAUAGUACCGGUUGGACUGGUAUAUGACUGUACCCUCAGAGAAAGCCCCGGCUAACUUCGUGCCAGCAGCCGCGGUAAUACGAAGGGGGCUAGCGUUGCUCGGAAUUACUGGGCGUAAAGCGCACGUAGGCGGACUCUUAAGUCGGUGGUGAAAUCCUGGAGCUCAACUCCAGAACUGCCUUCGAUACUGGGAGUCUUGAGUUCGGGAGAGNUGAGUGGAACUGCGAGUGUAGAGGUGAAAUUCGUAGAUAUUCGCAAGAACACCAGUGGCGAAGGCGGCUCACUGGCCCGAUACUGACGCUGAGGUGCGAAAGCGUAGGGAGCAAACA
rnacentral:rRNA from 1 species